rnacentral:rRNA from 1 species
GGAAUAUUGGUCAAUGGACGCAAGUCUGAACCAGCCAUGCCGCGUGAAGGAUGAAGGUCCUCUGGAUUGUAAACUUCUUUUAUAGGGGAAGAAAUCUCUUGAUUCUUCGAGAGUUGACGGUACCCUAGGAAUAAGCACCGGCUAACUCUGUGCCAGCAGCCGCGGUAAUACGGAGGGUGCAAGCGUUAUCCGGAUUCACUGGGUUUAAAGGGUGCGUAGGAGGGCAGGUAAGUCAGUGGUGAAAUCCCCGAGCUUAACUUGGGAACUGCCGUUGAUACUAUCUGUCUUGAAUAUUGUGGAGGUGAGCGGAAUAUGUCAUGUAGCGGUGAAAUGCUUAGAUAUGACAUAGAACACCAAUUGCGAAGGCAGCUCGCUACACAUAUAUUGACUCUGAGGCACGAAAGCGUGGGGAUC